rnacentral:rRNA from 9 species
UAAACGACUCUCGGCAACGGAUAUCUCGGCUCACGCAUCGAUGAAGAACGUAGCAAAAUGCGAUACUUGGUGUGAAUUGCAGAAUCCCGUGAACCAUCGAGUUUUUGAACGCAAGUUGCGCCCGAAGCCUUUUGGUUGAGGGCACGUCUGCCUGGGCGUCACGC